UGGUCCUGGCCUUGAAAUCAAUUUUUACUUUACUUAUACAUGCAAGUCUCCGCACCCCUGUGAAAACGCCCUUUAAUACCUAUUAGGAGUAAGGAGCUGGUAUCAGGCACAAUAUUUUAGCCCAAGACACCUAGCUAUGCCACACCCACAAGGGACUUCAGCAGUAAUUAACAUUGAACAUAAGCGCCAGCUUGAUUCAGUUAUAGUAAGAAGGGCAGGCAAAUCUGGUGCCAGCCGCCGCGGUUACACCAUGUGGCCCAAAUUGAUUUCUUUCGGCGUAAAGAGUGAUUAAAGUGAUACUAUACUGUAGUUUAACUAAAAUUAAGUCGUUAAAAGCUUGUAUAUAGGAAACCCAAAAACGAAGGUUACUACACCCAAAACAACUUGAACUCACAAUAGCUAAGGUACAAACUAGGAUUUGAGACCCUACUAUGCUUAGCCAUAAACUUUUAAUUACACCCCAAACGCCCGGGAACUACGAGCAAAGCUUAAAACCCAAAGGACUUGACGGUGCCCCAUAUCCCCCUAGAGGAGCCUGUCCAAUAAUCGAUGAUCCCCGUUCAACCUCACCAUUUUUAGCCUCAUCAGUCUGUAUACCUCCGUCGUCAGCUUACCACGUGAGUGAAAUAUAGUAAGUUUAAUGUUCUAUUACUCAUCAAUACGUCAGGUCAAGGUGCAACUAAUAAAAUGGGAAGAGAUGGGCUACACUCUCUAACUUAGAACAUACGAAAGACUACUAUGAAAACUAGUCUGAAGGUGGAUUUAGCAGUAAAAAAAGACCAGAAUGCUUUUUUUAACUAGGCCCUGGGGUGUGUACACACCGCCCGUCACCCUCUUCGCAGCCACAAUUUAGUAAUUAACAAAAUUUGCACACAAGAAGAGGCAAGUCGUAACAUGGUAAGUAUACCGGAAGGUGUACUUGGAAA
rnacentral:ncRNA from 1 species